CAAUAAUCACUCAUAACGCCACUAUCCUACGAAAAAUAAUUUCUCUUUCUUUGCUUUUAUAUUCAUUUGAGCUUCGGGAGUAGGUUCCACUGCCACAUGACAUGAUAACAAGUAGCAUAAUAUAUACUUUGAUAAGAGGAUAACGAUGAAGAGAUAAUUAUGAAAGAAAUGUUAUUCUUUUCUCAUUUUUUUUCUUUUGGCAUUCUAGUUUUCUUUCACAGCAUUUCGAUUCAUUUUAUUAAAUAAAUAAACCCAAUAACGUUUCCAAGGUCUUAUUCAUUAAUCCUGCAGAUAAGAAUGCGUGGGUUUUUCGUCUGACAACGAUGGUGUGAACGUGGCAGAUAAACUUUUGUUUUCUGGCCAUGCCGACGCAUGAAACUUUUAAGUUUCCAGGAUUUUCCAUCACAAAGACAAAGGCAAUCAAUUUAUGGCGAAGUUUUCAAGUCAUCUUUCCCUCCUGUACGUCUGUCAGGUGUCUAGUUUCCGACAUUUUCUGUUAAAUUUCCAAAUUAAUAACUACAUCAUCAAGAACUUUCUCUUCAAUUUUAUUCAUUUAGAUGUUGGAUUAAUUAAAUAUAUUAUCGGCUUGCUGAUGUUCAUAUAUAAACUUUUACAGGUCGCCGCUAAAGUAUUUGAAGGGAUACAGGAAAUGAACAAAGUAAUAUCCCCUACUUUACUAAGUCAAAACAGACAAAGAAGGAGAAGGAGAGGAGGUUCUGCUCAUUUUCCCAUCACAUUCGCAAAAGGAUCAGUCAAUUGCAUGUGUUUUUCACACUUUUCCUGCAAGUAGUCUUCCUCCUUUCUUUAUAAUAUGAAUUGACAGCAAUUAUAAUUAAGAUUAAAUUAAAAUAUACAUAUCUAGAUAAUGGAAUCCAAUGUCUAAAAUAUUAUUAAUUCAUAUAAUCAUAUCAUAAUAUUAAAUAAAUUUUAACGUAUUAAUAAUUUUUUAUCUCUAAAAUACGAUUUUUUUUUUUUACAAAAAAUUAGGAAUUAAGAGGCAAUUAAAUAAAUAAAGACUAAAGCAAAAGAAAAUAGAAGAAUAUGCUUCUUUUCCUUGUAUUUUCUCCUUCAUUUAACCUUUUAAAAGCAGUUUAUAUGGAAAAAAUUUUUUAAUGAGAGUUUUAUUUAGACGUCACAACUGUAACAUGCAUGGAACUUUACAUUUGGAUGCAUUGAAUGUAAAUAAAUCAAACAGGAAAAGGAAAAAAAAAUCAGAUAAAAAAAAGACAAAAAAUUAAGAAACAAAUGCUUGUGCAAUAAUUUGAUGUUGUUGUUUUUCAAUUUUCACAGCUAAUAAUGUUAAUUUGGAACAGAACAUAAAAGGCCAAAAAAAAAAAAGUUAAACCAAUUACCAUCAAAUGAUUACCUUAUAACACUAUAAAAGAAAAAGAAAAUUAAAGAUGAUAUGUAUAGUUUCGUCAUCCAAUCACUUGAACAACAUGUAAUUUUAUAUAGAAUUAAGAAAUCACACUGUCAAUGUAUAAAAAUGAAUUUAUAAAUGAAUUCAUGAAUUUACUUCUUUCUACCAAAUAAUAGUUAAUUUUGGAAUAUGAUAAGAUUGAUCUUGAUAGAAAUAAAAUGGAUAUCGUUGACAUGACAUAUAAAUUAUGUGCUUAGACUUGGGACAACCUUUAGGGGACCGCAAGUAAAUGUCAUGAACACUAACAUUAGUUUUCACUAUGAAAUUAUUUGGUAAAGAGAAAUUUUCAACACCAAAUUGAUCUUCGUAGAAAUACAAUGGAUAUUGUUGGCAGGCACUUUCUAUACGCAAUUGUAUUUUAUUCAUGGACCAUGCCAACCCUUAAUAUCCUAUAAAAUAAAACUUUUUUUUUCUUUUCAAGACAAAAUGAUUGUAGUAAAAAAGAAAUUUAAACCUGAAAAUCUCUUUCUAGAAGCAUGGGUUUGUCAAUUUCAUAAUUUAAAGAUGAAUAGAGUUAUACUGUUUAAAUUUAAAGUUGCAACAUGUUUGAAAAUAUUUCAAAGAGAUGAUAACUAGAUAUGGUAAUUUAUAUCAAAAUUUUAAAUCAUAUUAUUUUAUAUAUU
rnacentral:lncRNA from 1 species